rnacentral:rRNA from 1 species
ACUAAGCGUACACGGUGGAUGCCCUGGCAGUCAGAGGCGAUGAAGGACGUGCUAAUCUGCGAAAAGCGUCGGUAAGGUGAUAUGAACCGUUACAGCCGGCGAUGUCCGAAUGGGGAAACCCAGUGCAAUUCGUUGCACUAUCGUUAACUGAAUACAUAGGUUAACGAGGCGAACCGGGGGAACUGAAACAUCUAAGUACCCCGAGGAAAAGAAAUCAACCGAGAUUCCCCCAGUAGCGGCGAGCGAACGGGGAGCAGCCCAGAGUCUGAAUCAGCUUGUGUGUUAGUGGAACGGUCUGGAAAGUCCGACGGUACAGGGUGAUAGUCCCGUACACCAAAAUGCACAGGCUGUGAACUCGAAGAGUAGGGCGGGACACGUGGUAUCCUGUCUGAAUAUGGGGGGACCAUCCUCCAAGGCUAAAUACUCCUGACUGACCGAUAGUGAACCAGUACCGUGAGGGAAAGGCGAAAAGAACCCCGGCGAGGGGAGUGAAAAAGAACCUGAAACCGUGUACGUACAAGCAGUGGGAGCACCUUCGGGUGUGACUGCGUACCUUUUGUAUAAUGGGUCAGCGACUUAUAUUCUGUAGCAAGGUUAACCGUAUAGGGGAGCCGCAGGGAAACCGAGUCUUAACUGGGCGUUAAGUUGCAGGGUAUAGACCCGAAACCCGGUGAUCUAGCCAUGGGCAGGUUGAAGGUUGGGUAACACUAACUGGAGGACCGAACCGACUAAUGUUGAAAAAUUAGCGGAUGACUUGUGGCUGGGGGUGAAAGGCCAAUCAAACCGGGAGAUAGCUGGUUCUCCCCGAAAGCUAUUUAGGUAGCGCCUCGUGAAUUCAUCUUCGGGGGUAGAGCACUGUUUCGGCUAGGGGGUCAUCCCGACUUACCAACCCGAUGCAAACUACGAAUACCGAAGAAUGUUAUCACGGGAGACACACGGCGGGUGCUAACGUCCGUCGUGAAGAGGGAAACAACCCAGACCGCCAGCUAAGGUCCCAAAGUCAUGGUUAAGUGGGAAACGAUGUGGGAAGGCACAGACAGCCAGGAUGUUGGCUUAGAAGCAGCCAUCAUUUAAAGAAAGCGUAAUAGCUCACUGGUCGAGUCGGCCUGCGCGGAAGAUGUAACGGGGCUAAACCAUGCACCGAAGCUGCGGCAGCGACACUAUGUGUUGUUGGGUAGGGGAGCGUUCUGUAAGCCUGCGAAGGUGUGCUGUGAGGCAUGCUGGAGGUAUCAGAAGUGCGAAUGCUGACAUAAGUAACGAUAAAGCGGGUGAAAAGCCCGCUCGCCGGAAGACCAAGGGUUCCUGUCCAACGUUAAUCGGGGCAGGGUGAGUCGACCCCUAAGGCGAGGCCGAAAGGCGUAGUCGAUGGGAAACAGGUUAAUAUUCCUGUACUUGGUGUUACUGCGAAGGGGGGACGGAGAAGGCUAUGUUAGCCGGGCGACGGUUGUCCCGGUUUAAGCAUGUAGGCUGGUUGUCCAGGCAAAUCCGGAUAAUCAAGGCUGAGGUGUGAUGACGAGGCACUACGGUGCUGAAGUAACAAAUGCCCUGCUUCCAGGAAAAGCCUCUAAGCAUCAGGUAACAUCAAAUCGUACCCCAAACCGACACAGGUGGUCAGGUAGAGAAUACCAAGGCGCUUGAGAGAACUCGGGUGAAGGAACUAGGCAAAAUGGUGCCGUAACUUCGGGAGAAGGCACGCUGGUGUGUAGGUGAAGUCCCUGCGGAUGGAGCUGAGACCAGUCGAAGAUACCAGCUGGCUGCAACUGUUUAUUAAAAACACAGCACUGUGCAAACACGAAAGUGGACGUAUACGGUGUGACGCCUGCCCGGUGCCGGAAGGUUAAUUGAUGGGGUUAUCCGUAAGGAGAAGCUCUUGAUCGAAGCCCCGGUAAACGGCGGCCGUAACUAUAACGGUCCUAAGGUAGCGAAAUUCCUUGUCGGGUAAGUUCCGACCUGCACGAAUGGCGUAAUGAUGGCCAGGCUGUCUCCACCCGAGACUCAGUGAAAUUGAACUCGCUGUGAAGAUGCAGUGUACCCGCGGCAAGACGGAAAGACCCCGUGAACCUUUACUAUAGCUUGACACUGAACAUUGAGCCUUGAUGUGUAGGAUAGGUGGGAGGCUUUGAAGCGUGGACGCCAGUCUGCGUGGAGCCAACCUUGAAAUACCACCCUUUAAUGUUUGAUGUUCUAACGUUGGCCCCUUACCGGGGUUGCGGACAGUGUCUGGUGGGUAGUUUGACUGGGGCGGUCUCCUCCCAAAGCGUAACGGAGGAGCACGAAGGUUAGCUAAUCCUGGUCGGACAUCAGGAGGUUAGUGCAAUGGCAUAAGCUAGCUUGACUGCGAGCGUGACGGCGCGAGCAGGUGCGAAAGCAGGUCAUAGUGAUCCGGUGGUUCUGAAUGGAAGGGCCAUCGCUCAACGGAUAAAAGGUACUCCGGGGAUAACAGGCUGAUACCGCCCAAGAGUUCAUAUCGACGGCGGUGUUUGGCACCUCGAUGUCGGCUCAUCACAUCCUGGGGCUGAAGUAGGUCCCAAGGGUAUGGCUGUUCGCCAUUUAAAGUGGUACGCGAGCUGGGUUUAGAACGUCGUGAGACAGUUCGGUCCCUAUCUGCCGUGGGCGCUGGAGAAUUGAGGGGGGCUGCUCCUAGUACGAGAGGACCGGAGUGGACGCAUCACUGGUGUUCGGGUUGUCAUGCCAAUGGCACUGCCCGGUAGCUAAAUGCGGAAGAGAUAAGUGCUGAAAGCAUCUAAGCACGAAACUUGCCCCGAGAUGAGUUCUCCCUGAGACUUUAAGUCUCCUGAAGGAACGUUAAAGACGAUGACGUUGAUAGGCCGGGUGUGUAAGCGCAGCGAUGCGUUGAGCUAACCGGUACUAAUGAACCGUGAGGCUUAACC